rnacentral:lncRNA from 1 species
CAAUUCUUAUGUAAUUAUAUGGAACUCUAAUUUAAGGUAGGCUGUGGGUGACCUUCAGUGUAUCUAAUAUGUUGUGAAUGGGACCCCAAAAUAAAAUUUCCCCAGAAGUGGUGGUGGUUGCUAAUGAUUCCUGUUCUUCUGUCACUGGAUACCUUGUGGAGUGACAGUGAACGUGCAGCUUUUAGGGGGCAGGGGUGGGAAUGGGAGGACUCCUUCUCAACUGCCACAAUGGGGUCUGGGGCUCAGAUCCUGACCCUGAGAGGGAUCAGCCACAGAACCAGGAUCCUGGAUCAGGGGUGGCACCCUCCUGCAAUGUUGAAGAAUCAGCACUAGGGGACAGCCGAGAGCCAAGUCAGGCUGGGAGGGCGCCUGGGAGCUUCCCCGCAUCCUCUGCUCUCCCUGCCAGUCUCCCGCCUGGGACCAUCCCUACCACCAAGACAGUUGCUACAGCUUAGAAGAUGGUGCCAUUUUUCAAAAGGGAAUCGCUUUGCAAGUAAACCUAAGUGUUUCACCGGCUCCUUCCAGUGGGAUACUCAGAAAUAUUCAAGAUAGGGACAGCCUUCCAGGAUCAGCCAGAGUGUUCUUACAACUUCCCCGCAGAGGCCACUUCUUUGGUGAAUUUCUCCUGGACUGCAUCCCUGCCCAACCUCCCUCCACCUGUCCACACCUCUGUUUGCCUAUAAGCCACACGGCAGGUGAGUUUCAGGAGUCUGCGGGUCCCUGGAAUGCAAAUAACCAGAAACAGUUCGAAUCUCAGAGGUGGGGCGCAGGGGGGUCUGUGCAUGCACAUUUUUCCAGGGAAGGACCUAAAGCUUUUCAUCGCUUCUCCAAAUCAUUCUUUCCUGAGCUAAGGAGGCUAAAACGGCAAGUGUGGAGCGAGAGAGCAGUGAAUAAUUCUCCCUUAGAGCAGUACCACUGGGGAAAUCUGCUCUGAGGGGAAAGAACCCCUCUCCCCACUCCUCUGUGUUGAGGGGCAUCUGGUAAGAACAGACAGCAGGCACAGCCCGUCCAAAUGGGUCAACCGUCCACAGGGGUCAGAUGUGGCAACACAGCCUGAAGGAUGCCCUGAGGCUGGAGCAAAGCUGGCUCCAUGCAGACUGGCCGCUGUGAGCAGAGGGGUGGCUCAAGGCUCUGCCGCCUCCACGCCCCCACCCCUGCCCCCAGCCCUGUACCCUGUAGGUGACUAGCAG